UAGUAGCUUAUCAACGGCCACGAUCAGUAGCUGGUCUUAGAGGACGAUCAGCCACACUGGGAUUGAGAACAGCCCAGACUCCUACGGGGGGCAGCAGUGAGGAAUUUUCGUCAACAGGGGCAACACUGAACGAGCAACGCCGCGUGCAGCAUGAAGGUUUUCGGAUCGUAAACUGCUUUUCUCUUGGAAGAGAACAGACGGUACCAGAGGAAGAAGCACCGGCUAACUACGUGCCAGCAGCCGCGGUAAUACGUAGUGGGCAAGCGUUGUCCGGAUUUAUUGGGCGUAAAGCGCACGCAGGCGGUCGGCCAAGUUCGGAGUAACAGUUUCCGGCUUAACUGACGAAGGCCGGGAAGACUGAAAGACUUGAGGGCUCCAGAAGGACACGGAAUUCCGGGUGUAGUGGUGAAAUG
rnacentral:rRNA from 1 species